CACAUCAUCCCAACAAAAGGAUGCCUUCAGUGACCCGCUGGAGCCCUCUAGAGUUUAGAUCCAGUCUGACUCCAGAUGGAGGCCAGGAAAUGAAAGAGGAAGUCUGGUUGCAUGGAUGUUGGUCUCCAUGGAUACACCACAACAAAUCAGCACCGAGGCAGAGAUUUAGCAGAAGCGACGGAGGCGUAUUUUUAAACUGUUUAGAGUUCAGUUUCCGAGUUCUCUGAGGUUGUUAAUCCUGACUGAGCGGAGGCCAUGUACAGAGUUUCCUCGUCGGUUAAAGUGAAGCAGAUGGAGGCAGAGCUGUCGCAUCAACUCGCAGCUCUCAGGGCGGAAAUCGAGGAGAAUGGGUUUCCACGAGGAGCAGGGACGGCCAACUCUUACAGCUCUGUUCCACCUCCCAAAGAUGUUUCCUUCUUUCGUCUGGAGAGGGAACAUGCACUGAGGAGGGAGCUGCAGGUGGCUGAAGCUUCGCGGGUUCAGUCUGCGGCUGACGUCAUGCAGGAAGAGCUGCAGAGCUGCUGGAGUUUAGAAUACAGUCCUGAAAAUCUGCUGCUUCUGCUGCACCAGUUCUUCAUGGACAGAUCGUAUCACCUGGCUCAGAUCAAAUAUCAACUCAUGCUGAGAUGGAGGAGAUUCUGUCGCCACACCGGCGUCAUCGAGAAGCUUUAUCCUCAUUACAAGACCAAAGAACUACAGACUCUUCACAACCUGCUCAAACUCUUGGUACAGGACCUCACCACACGGGUCAAGAAGGUGAAACCCAGACGAGAUCCAUGGCAGCAGAAGCUCCUCACACAGCUGAAGGAAAAGAAAUCAGCCGAUGAGCUGCUGAAGAUGCACAGCAGGUUUCUACAGGUCUCUGAUCUGCUUCAUGUAGCUGCAGCUUUAAAACAACAAGCAGCUCAUGUUGGAGACUCACAAUCAUCAUCACACAACAGCAGGACAAAACAUGAAAAGAUCUCUGAGAUCUGGACGAGCGUUUACAGUGCUGCCAGUCUUUCUCCCGCAGCGUAACAGACAAAAGCCGCGAUUCCACAAGCAUCUACUCGGCGCGGUACGGUUCGCCACUAUUGUAUCUGACUCGGCUCGUCUCGGUUUAGUUGUUUUUCCAUAUAGCCUCAUCGUGGGU
ensembl:lncRNA